AUUUUUUUAAUUAAAAGAAAACCUUCCACACUGCAACCAUUAUUUCGUAUUAUCGGGUUUUUUGUGAAAAAAUUAUUUUACUACACACAGCGGUGUAUUUAGCUUUCAGUUGCUAGUUGCGCAUCUAAGAUCAUGCAUUUUAUCCACUAGAUUAAAACGAUGUCCGAAAUAUUCUUAUAGUAAUAUAUAGAUGAUAAAUAAUUUCGUCACUCUUUUCCUAGACAUAUAAACACUAAAAUUAUAGUGCCUGGAUGUACUACAGCGUGAAUCGAGAAUUUGUAGACGUACUACAGCGGCGCUAUAAGGAAAUUUAUUUCGAUUUUAUAUUUUAGUAUCGAGAAUUACCGAUCUUUAAAAAUUUUCUGGAAAAAUCACAAAGUAAUAAAUACACCGAGACAUACCGUGGCAAAAUGUUCAUAAGACACGGUACCAACUGUGGUUGAGUUAAAAUACUGCAGACUAAUAUAAAAGUAUCAUUUAGAAUUGUAAAUGCAUCCACAAGUUAGUUUUUCUGUAUUUAGCCGUAAUAAAUGUUAAAGCAUUCUUACCGGUUUGUGUGUCAACUGUAGAAAAAUCGGAAGAUAACAUUAUAAGGACAAAACUAAUCCUACUUAACAUAUAUUGAGUUUUCUUUUGGGAAAAGUUUCUUCUCUCGUUAUUGGUAAAACAGAUUGGACAAAAUAUCGCAGAACCGCGCGUCUGAUUCGCAUCAUCGAUCCCACGGCCUACGUGCCAAGAAGAAAACCAGAAAUGGUAGUUUGGCUCUACCACUACAGUUACGUUUAAUAAAGAGCAUGCGCUAUUUUACCCUCUCCUUCCUUCGAACUUUAUUUCGAUAUAAUACACUGUAUAGUUUGAUCUACGGUUCAGUUUAAUAAUAUCUUCUAAGAAUAAAUUUUAAGCAGUUUUACAGUACUAGAAUUCGAGGACGUAACACAGCAUUGAAACCGAAUAAUUGAACUGGCAAUCGGCCACUAUAGCUGUGACGUCACCAUUAACUUAGUUGAUAAAGUAGACGAGGUGGCCAGGUUGACCGGGUGGAUUAUUUAUAUUAAAUAAAAUAAAACCAAUUGUAGAAUAUAAAAUUAUCGAUUAGUUACCAACAAAAUAUUUUUCCUACUGUGUCGAUGCCAGUCGAAAUUAUUACAAAAGUUUAACUCGAUCUUUCUGGUAAUUAAAUUCUCCGAGUGGCCAGUUAGAAAGAAUAAAGAGCUGAAUACUAAAUUGAUGAUGAUAAACUACCCGCAUUAAUUUAAAACGCGCACUGAUUUGCAAAAUACCAUAUUGUCCUAUUUCGCUUGACUAGUUAUUUCGUGCCGUGUGACGCACUCGGCUCCCUUGUUAUGUGUUAAAUUUUAAUGGAGAUACGUUUGAAACUCUACAGUUAAUUAAAAAAAAGUCAACGCUCGAAAUAUUUCGGAACCGGUGUUUGCACCUGAGGUUAACUCGAGGAUAAAUAUACGCUAGGUCUAAUUAAUUUACCGCUUAAUUACUGUGUUGUAAUUUAAUAAAAGAAAUAAUGAUAAAUGAUAUUUAUAAAUAAACGGAAGGGAGGUUAGCGUACUUUGGUGUCAAUGUUUCCUUUUUCUUUUAAAUGUAUGUCAUUGUCGUUUAUUUUUAUGUCCAUGGUAAUUAAAGCUGCCAAUAACCUAUAACCGCCGUAGUAAAAUAUCUAUCAAAAUAUUAAUAAUUGAAGAAAAUGCUUUAUGUGGAACUUGAUCGAAUUUGUUUUUAAUGCGCUUAAAUUUCAAAUUAUAUAUAAAAAAUCGUGGUUUGAAAUGCAAAAUUAUAAUGCGAGUUCAAAUAAAUGGAAAGAAAAAGCUAAAUGGGCUACGCCAGUGUUUCCCAAAGUGUGGUACGCGUACCCCCAGGGGUACGGGAAGAGUUUGGUGGGGAUAUACGCUGCACC
rnacentral:lncRNA from 1 species